ACAAUGAUACUUCCGUUCAGCCACAGCCCGAGCGUUAAAAGCGUCGCAGGCAAUGGGAGCGGCUCGCGGAGAACCCGGGAGAGGUGAAAUUCCUAUGC
ncrna:unclassified sequences pemK RNA